rnacentral:rRNA from 1 species
UACGUAGGGGACAAGCGUUGUCCGGAUUUAUUGGGCGUAAAGAGCGUGUAGGCGGCUGGGUAGGUCCGUUGUGAAAACUCGAGGCUCAACCUCGAGACGCCGAUGGAAACCCUCCAGCUAGAGUCCGGAAGAGGAGAGUGGAAUUCCUGGUGUAGCGGUGAAAUGCGCAGAUAUCAGGAAGAACACCCGUGGCUAAGGCGGCUCUCUAGUACGGUACUGACGCUGAGACGCGAAAGCGUGGGGAGCGAACAGG